CUCUGCAGAGAGGAGGCUGAGUGCCCACCGUGGGGAGAGGGCUCAGUGACCACAGUCUGGAGCUUCCUCCAGGGGCAAUAAUGGACUCCCUGCGUCAGCCUUUUCCAGCGGGGCUAUCAUCCAAGCCUGCCUGGGUCACAAGUCCACUGUCCUGUUGGAGAGACCUGCCUGGCCCUGUCUCUGCUGUAGCAUGCAGCGUAUCUGCAGGCCUCACAAGCCCACAUGCCCCUGAGCAUAAGGAGUCAUUUGUUUUAAUAUCCUUAAAGAUUUUUGUAUUUUCAAGCAACGUUCUCUGCAGCACUGCCCAAUGAUAGCUGGUAAUCGUUCCCAUAAUCUGAUGCCUUACCCUUUAGAUUUACAGAACAUGUUGAAUUGGGAACAUUUCACAUUUUCUAUGCAGAAAUAAAGAAUGGCAAUAUU